GAUGAAGAACGUAGCGAAAUGCGAUAAGUAAUGCGAAUUGCAGAAUUCAGUGAGUCAUCGAAUCUUUGAACGCACAUUGCGCCCUGUGGUAUUCCGCAGGGCAUGCCUGUUCGAGCGUCAUUUCAACCCUCAAGCCUCGCUUGGUGUUGGGCCCUGCCCGCCGCGGCCGGCCCUAAAGAUAGUGGCGGCGCCGCCUGGCCCUCAGCGUAGUACAGCUCUCGCUCCAGGGUCCGGCGGCAGCCUGCCAGAACCCCCCAACUCUGUGGUUGACCUCGGAUCAGGUAGGGAUACCCGCUGAACUUAAGCAUAUCAAUAAGCGGGGA
rnacentral:misc_RNA from 1 species